CAGAUGUGAUACCUUGAAGCUGUAGCUCAGGACUUGGUGGAAAGCGACCCUGGUCAUAGUCAGUGCCACCUAGAUUAUCAGCACUUUCCUGGAAACAUGUCUUCACUGAUUCCAAUUGUUGGUUCUGGAUAACUCUAGAGUGUUCCUUAAACCCAAAGUCAAACUGACACCCAUGAUACAGAAACCUCCUAAUUCAAAAAGCAGGAAUUAUACACUCAGUUUUAAAGAAACAUGUUGAGAAAAAUACAGACUCUACAAGUAUGCUACUGAUUACCUAUAGAACAUGUAGCUUCUAUCAUGAUAUGUCUGGUUACAAAGGCAAGAGCCCCUCCUUGACUAUCCGAACAACUGUAUUUUUGACAGUCAAUACCCAUUUGCUCCUCAAGGAAUUGAGUCAAAAGAAACACUUCUCUCAACUAAAAUCUCUGUUCAGUUAGAGUGUGUCUGAAAAAAACCACAGCUGGACUUCAGGUUCUUCUUAUCUUCUCUGUGA
rnacentral:lncRNA from 1 species